GAUGAAGAACGUAGCGAAAUGCGAUAAGUAAUGUGAAUUGCAGUAUUCAGUGAAUCAUCGAAUCUUUGAACGCACAUUGCGCCCGCCAGUAUUCUGGCGGGCAUGCCUGUUCGAGCGUCAUUUCAACCAUCAAGCCCCAGGCUUGUGUUGGGGACCUGCGGCUGCCGCAGGCCCUGAAAACCAGUGGCGGGCUCGCUGUCACACCGGGCGUAGUAGAUUUUAUCUCGCUCAGGGCGUGCUGCGGGUUCCGGCCGUUAAAAAGCCUUUUUUACCCAAGGUUGACCUCGGAUCAGGUAGGAAGACCCGCUGAACUUAAGCAUAUCAAUAAGCGGAGGA
rnacentral:misc_RNA from 1 species